AUUUAGUUUAAGAACAACGACACAUUACCAUACCGAACAUGAAUAGUUAAAAUCUUAGACACUUAUAGUACUUAAUUAAAGGGAGAGUAGGCUU
rnacentral:rRNA from 1 species